CGUUCCCACCGCUGAAAUUUUAUCCUCUCGACCCCUCUUGUCCCAUUUCUUCCUCUUCCUUUUUUCCCAUCUUUCCCCUCUCACCUUCCUCAUCUUCAUUCGCAACGCAACUGUUGUGUCCACGGGAGACACUGGAGACGAUGCACGGCUGGGUCCUGCUGCGAAGCUUCCGUCGCCUGGGCGCUCCGAUGCUGCCGGAGGACGCGGUGUCGUGCUCGCCUGCACAAGCUGCGGGUUUUGCAAGGCAGGGGCUUGCUGCUGCUAGCCCGCACGAGCUUCUCCAAGGGCAGCCCCGGCCUUUUUUUUGUAAGGUGACCAGAAACAUGGUUGCUACAGCUUGAGGGAGUAUAUCCGGUGCUCCUCCGGAGUUACUCACGCGACGCGGGGUCGUCGUUCUCCAGCUGAUUGGAUUGUGCUUCUUCCUUCUAAUCCCUUCCUCUGGUUGUUGAUGCCUCAAGCAGCCGCUGCCGAGUGUGUGCUCUGGUUAUCGGAUAUCAGUUGUUCCUUCGUAGCCUCCCUUUGAGUUUAUUCUGUUCCCUUCUUCUGCUUGUUGAUGCCUUAUAUGAAUUGAUCCGAUUGAUUACAAA